UACGAAGGGGGCUAGCGUUGUUCGGAAUUACUGGGCGUAAAGCGCACGUAGGCGGAUACUUAAGUCGGGGGUGAAAUCCCGGGGCUCAACCCCGGAACUGCCUUUGAUACUGGGUAUCUCGAGUCCGGAAGAGGUGAGUGGAAUUCCGAGUGUAGAGGUGGAAUUCGUAGAUAUUAGGAAGAACACCAGUGGCGAAGGCGGCUCACUGGUCCGGUACUGACGCUGAGGUGCGAAAGCGUGGGGAGCAAACAGG
rnacentral:rRNA from 1 species